UUGAUCUAGUUUGACUGAUUUCAGUUUGAGGUAAGCACGGAAAUAUCACACAUAAGGAAAAGGUAAAUGAGAUGACAUCAGAUCGACAGGUAAACAAGAGAAUAGGCCUAUUUGAUCGACAACAGCUGAUUGACACUAUCACUAUGGUCAUUGGAAAAAUGUCACAGGUGUCACUUAUUUAAAGUGACACAGGUGUCACUUACGUUUUAACAAAUUCAAGUUUGGUUAACAUUACACAAUUAUUUAACAACCUGACCUUGGCGGACGCGGAGAGAAUCGGGGUCAAACGAAAACGAGGCCAAUAUGCAACAAGUAUACGUACACUCGUCACUUACAGGACGGAAUGAAGCAAGCCUAGUCUCUUAUAGAGGCCUAGGGAGUGGAGUUGGUUUAGCCGUGAGAAAAAAUCCUGCGGUGGCAGGAGGAAUUGAACCCAGCGGCCUGGGAUUGAAGGCAAGCAUCUUAACCACUAAGCUAUUCACCCCCUCCAAGUUUAAUUAUUUAUGUUAAUACUAGGCCUA